UUACUACGUUUUCCGGAUAAAUGACGUUACACCAUAACUUCUGGUUGAUAAGACUUGCAGAACUACCUUAAAUGUUAUCAACAACGUUUAGGAUAAUGACAAUCCGUCAGUUUUUAGGUAGUUUUGCAUUACAGUGGAGCCGUGUAACUUCCCUACCAGUUUGAUCAACUUUAUUUUGGGUGUUAAUUAGGAUUUAGUAGGACAAAACACUGUUCACCGUUUAAAAUCAGUGUUGUUUACGCACAUUUAUAAGUUGAACAUACAAACAACAGAAAAUGAAACUUUUGUUCUUUAUUUUAUACAUAUAUUAAACGGACUAAAAUCGAGUGACUGAAUUUCAAGGAUAAAUUUGAACACCAAUGACUGGAUGUGAAAUGUCGGUCCUGAAACGGGUCCUGUUGGUUUGCAUUUCAUUAUUGCACUAGAUUUAGUAUUGGCAGGAUUCGUGUUCGUGGUUUUUCUGCAAUUUAACGUUCUGGACAUACGUGUAACUGGAAACGGAAUUAAUUUCAUUAGAAGACAGCAAGAUUCUGCCACACAGCAAUUUGAACAUCGUGUCUGGAAAGAACAUCUUACGCAUGACAUAGUUUAUAAAGGCGGUCGUUUGUUGACAGAGAACAGUCUAGAGAAUAUAAAAGUUAUUAGUACAGAGCAGUGUCGUAGUCGGAGGUUUUUGGUAUUCAAAUGUGAUUCCUCAAUUUUAUGUGAAGGUUUGGCUGACCCCCAGAAAGGAAUUGUGUCUUCUUUUCUCCUAGCAUUACUGACGAAUAGGACUUUUGUCGUCGAUAUAACAAAUCCGUGCGAGCUAAACAACUUUCUCUUGUCAAAUAAUUAUAAUUGGUCAAUGUGUACAGAUUUUGUGAAAACUGUUCCAAAGGAAAACUUCAUUAAAUUAACCUAUGUUAAUGGUAAAACAAAGACUUUCCUGAAUCAAAUUAAAACGUUCAAUUUUGGCAGAAACUGGACAAAGAAAGUAAUAGUUUAACGACUUAACGCCUAUGCAAUCGAUGUGGUUAGACAAAAUAAACAGGCUAAAACACGAC
rnacentral:misc_RNA from 1 species